GGAGAGUGAAUAAUUUGGAGAGGAAUGUGAAAGGAUGGAGUUUUAAGAAUUAGGAAUUUGAUAAGUUUUAUUUCAUCCAGGCAAUCACGUUUUUAUACCCAUUACACAUUUUGUAAAAUUAAAAACUAUUGGGAUUUCUUUAAUAAAAUAAAUAUAAAUUUAAGAAUUGGGGAUUUAGGGAAAUCACGAUGAUUUAAACCCUACCCAAAUCAAAAUCGUUCAGCCAUCCGGGUGCGCGUCUGUUGCGUGUACUUCUCCGGCUCGGCUCCGGUUCAUGACCGCUCAACGGUUCUGGAUCGACGCUCUCCGCGAUUUCAGAAUUUGAGUCUUCUUCUUCUGGCACGGCUGCAGCUCUGAUAUGCUCUACAUCCUCCCUUAAUGUGCUGAAGUCCAUCGGAGUCGCAUCAAAUAGCGGACGCGAACCGCCAGGCCCGACUUCGCGGACCCUGACAAGAAGUGGCGCAGGUUAGUAGCCGGGAAGGACUAAGACCCACGAGAGCCGCGAUGGCCGCGCGACCGAUGGCGACAGGCGGCAGUUCCGUCUGGAGCGGCGUGCACGGAACAACGGAAACUCGACGUAACGCCACCAACAGGAGCCGCGGCAGGGGCCUCGGGGACCGGAACACCAGCAAGAAGGUCAGAACGACGGAGCCUGGAGAGACGGCGGUGAAUAUCUAUCAACACAGAGUUGAGGCGUUGAGUCUCCGACACAACCACGGUAUGGGAGAUGCCAGGCACGCGGCCCACGCAGCAUGCUGAAGCUGCACUUCACGACCGUAUUCCUCCAGGACAUCUUGGCCACUCAUCGUAGAAGAAGAGAGGAUUGAAGAAUGGAUCUAUUUUCAAAU
rnacentral:lncRNA from 1 species